rnacentral:rRNA from 1 species
GGCAGCAGCUAAGAAUAUUCCGCAAUGGACGAAAGUCUGACGGAGCGACGCCGCGUGGAUGAUGAAGGCCGGAAGGUUGUAAAAUCCUUUUAUGACUGAGGAAUAAGUUCUCUGAGAGAAACGGAGGAUGGUGACUGUAGGUCAUGAAUAAGCAACGGCUAAUUACGUGCCAGCAGCCGCGGUAACACGUAAGUUGCGAGCGUUGUUCGGAAUUAUUGGGCGUAAAGGGCAUGUAGGCGGUUCUGCAAGUCUGGUGUGAAAUACCGGGGCUCAACCCCGGAACUGCGUUGGAAACUGCAGGACUUGAAUCGCUGAGGGGCAGCCAGAAUUCCAGGUGUAGGGGUGAAAUCUGUAGAUAUCUGGAAGAAUACCAAUGGCGAAGGCAGGCUGCCAGCAGAUGAUUGACGCUGAGGUGCGAAGGUGCGGGGAGCAAACAGGAUUAGAUACCCUGGUAGUCCGCACAGUCAACUAUGUACACUGGGUGUCCGUUCAUGAGAAUGGGUGCCGAAGCAAACGCGAUAAGUGUACCGCCUGGGGAGUAUGCCCGCAAGGGUGAAACUCAAAGGAAUUGACGG